rnacentral:rRNA from 1 species
CAGUCGCCACGGGAAUACGUAGGGUGCGAGCGUUAAUCGGAAUUACUGGGCGUAAAGCGUGCGCAGGCGGUUAUAUAAGACAGAUGUGAAAUCCCCGGGCUCAACCUGGGACCUGCAUUUGUGACUGUAUAGCUAGAGUACGGUAGAGGGGGAUGGAAUUCCGCGUGUAGCAGUGAAAUGCGUAGAUAUGCGGAGGAACACCGAUGGCGAAGGCAAUCCCCUGGACCUGUACUGACGCUCAUGCACGAAAGCGUGGGGAGCAAACAGGAUUAGAUACCCCCGUAGUCCCUGUCUCUUAUAC